rnacentral:rRNA from 1 species
AGAGUUUGAUCAUGGCUCAGAGCGAACGCUAGCGGCGGGCUUAACACAUGCAAGUCGAGCGCUACCUUCGGGUAGAGCGGCGGACGGGUGAGUAACACGUAGGUAACGUACCUCUCGGUGUGGGAUAACUCGGGGAAACUCGAGCUAAUACCGCAUAUGUCUCCGGAUGAAAGUCUUCGGAUGCCGAGAGAGCGGCCUGCGGCCCAUUAUUUAAUCCUAGUUGGUGAGGUAACGGCUCACCAAGGGUACGAUGGGUAGCUGGUCUGAGAGGAUGAUCAGCCACACUGGGACUGAGACACGGCCCAGACUCCUACGGGAGGCAGCAGUGGGGAAUAUUGGACAAUGGGCGAAAGCCUGAUCCAGCCACGCCGCGUGUGUGAUGAAGGCCUUCGGGUUGUAAAGCACUGUCGGGAGGGACGAAUCAAUGACGGUACCUCGCAAGAAAGCACCGGCUAACUCCGUGCCA